CUUUCCCAGAUUUGACUGUUUACAUUCUACAGACAUACAAUUUUUUCUAAUAGACAACCAACGCAUACUAAACAAUUUUUUUCGUUCACAAAUUCUCCCACCAUGUUUUACUUUCGAUCUAAUUCAAUAUUUUGAUAUGGAAGGCGGUGAACACGGAGAUGAUCAUUCCAGAUCCGGCGGAGAUCCUCUCGGCCCGAUAUCCAAACAAAAUUUGUUCUCAGAACUCCUCAAUGUAAGUUUCAAUGGACCAGAUCUACUACACCUAACAUGUCCAUCAACAGAGUUGUCCAUAUAGUUUACUACUUAUCUUUUUGUGUUUGUCCUUCACUAGUUUAAGAAAGCUUAUGCAAUGCUUGCCAGAGUACCACAACGUUGCCUCCAAAUACCAAAAUUGUCCAUUACUUCUCAAUGUAAGUUUUGACAGACGAGAUCUACUACACCUAAUAUGGCCAUCAACACAAUUGUCCAUAUCUUCUUCUAACUCAUCUUUUUGUGUUUUUCCUUCACCGGUUUAAGAAAGCCUAGACAAACGUUGUCCGAGUACAAAUCUUAUUGACCACAUGUCAGAGGACACGCAUAGGAGUUGUCUCUUGGAAUCUGUCAAAGUGAGUUUUCGAUGGAC
rnacentral:lncRNA from 1 species